CUUUCAACAACGGAUCUCUUGGUUCCAGCAUCGAUGAAGAACGCAGCGAAAUGCGAUAAGUAAUGUGAAUUGCAGAAUUCAGUGAAUCAUCGAAUCUUUGAACGCACAUUGCGCCCCUCGGUAUUCC
rnacentral:rRNA from 1 species